UUGCUUGGACAACAAGUAGGCUAAAAUUGGAACAAUACCGAAUAGAUUAGUAUGACCCCCAAACAAUGGUGACACACUCAUUCAUGAUGCAGAUAUUUUGUAA